UGGCUGAGACGCAGCAGAGCGGACGUGGAAGCGCCUGCCUUAAAACAGGACAUAUUAGCUGCAUUUAACCUUCAGUUACUCUUUUUAUGGUUAGGUUGGAGUCAGGCCAUGUUUAUUUUUAGCUGAAAAACAUUACACCCAGAGAGAUAGCCAGGUUCAUAAUGGAUAUGAGGAAGUUUUUUCAAAAAAAGGAGCCACAUUCAGUCCAAAGAGGGAGAGAGGAAAGAGGGGAACAUGAGGAGAAAGUACAAGGUCAGGAAGAACCAGACCAAAUCCCCUGUACUCAUAUAGUGACUCAGAGGAUGAGCAGCCCACAAAAAAACGGUUUCCCCAGGCCCCUCGAGUGAAAAUACCAGCCCUCACCACUCCGCAGUCUUCCCCCCAGCCCACUGACAGCAGGCAUCAUAAUGCCCCUCCCAGCUUCCGGCACCUUUCGCCACUCCGGCAGAACACUCCAAACGACACAGCUUUGCAAUCUCCCCAGCAUGCAUGAGUCUGAUGUCGAGGCCUUCCCUAUAGAUGAUUCCAGAGACUCUGUGAGGCCACUAUUACAAGAUGCGACCUCACAAAAGAUGUUAACGAUGCUGUCAGACCUGACCAGAGCAGUUAACGAACUCCGUGAGGAGGUCAGAGCCAUCCGCCAUCCCUGCUGCAAUGAAUCGGUAGAUGCUGGGGUACUGCCUCUGGAUUUGCUCUUGCACAACAUUAAGGAGCUAAACAAUGCAGAGGCAGCUCUUCAAUCGCAAGAGGCAAAUAAGGCAAUGGUGAGACGCUUUGCCUUGAUUGGAGGGACCACACUGGAGGUGCGAGUCCGCCGUGUAAUGGCUUAUGCCAUCACAAACGAGCUGGCCUCAGUACUAAACUGGGCAGGGAAAAAAACAAAGGACCAGACGAAGCAAAAAAGGGCAUUUAAAGAUACAGCGCUGUGCAGAUGCAUAUUUGAUGGCCUGACGCAGCAGUUAGGGGCAAACUCUAUGUCAGAGUUUGUCUUUGCACAGGCAGUGCAGAAAUGGCUCCAAUACGCCCCAGAUCGUUUGGGUGGCGCAGGAUGCACAUCAUCCGUCCCCAUCCCGCAGUAAAAACUACAAAGUUAUGUUAAAAUAUAAAUGUAAAUAGAAAACUGUGUUUUAAUAAAGUAUUUAGCAAACGAA
ensembl:lncRNA